GAUGAACGCUAGCGGCAGGCUUAACACAUGCAAGUCGAGGGGUAUAGUUCUUCGGAACUAGAGACCGGCGCACGGGUGCGUAACGCGUAUGCAAUCUACCUUUUGCAGAGGGAUAGCCCAGAGAAAUUUGGAUUAAUACCUCAUAGUAUGUGAGAAUGGCAUCAUUUUCACAUUAAAGUCACAACGGCAAAAGAUGAGCAUGCGUCCCAUUAGCUUGUUGGUAAGGUAACGGCUUACCAAGACAAUGAUGGGUAGGGGUCCUGAGAGGGAGAUCCCCCACACUGGUACUGAGACACGGACCAGACUCCUACGGGAGGCAGCAGUGAGGAAUAUUGGUCAAUGGGCGCAAGCCUGAACCAGCCAUGCCGCGUGCAGGAAGAAGCAUCUAUGGUGUGUAAACUGCUUUUAUACAUGAAGAAACAACUCUACGUGUAGAGUCUUGACGGUACUGUAAGAAUAAGGACCGGNUAACU
rnacentral:rRNA from 1 species